rnacentral:rRNA from 1 species
UKGAAUGGUUUAAACCUAAAUUAUUAGUAGUUAAGUGCUUGAAAAUUAAGAUAGAUGGCGGUAUUUUAGUCUAUUCAGAGGAAUCUGUCCUAUGAUCGAUAUUCCACGAUUUAUAUUACUUAAAUUUUUAGUUUGCAUAUCGCUGUAGAUGGAAUAUUUCUGCUGAAUUGUAAUGUUCAUGGUUUUGAAAGAAAGAAAAUCAAGUCAAGAUGUAGCUUAUAUUUAAGAAGAGAUGGAUUACAGUAAUUAUAUUUGUGGUUAGUUAUUUGAAAUGAUUCCUAUAAAAUGGAUUUGAAAGUAAUUUUUUAUUAAGAUUUAAAAAAUGAUUUUAGCUCUAAAAUA